AAGUAAAAGCACACCUCUCCUCAUUAGGUUACAUAAUUUGAUGAAUGACCAUAUCAAAAUUGGGCAAAAUAAGUUAAAUAUUAUGAGUAUAUAGUCUUGGAAGAAUAAAUAUUUGUUAUUUAAUUUCCUGGCUUUUCUAGCAAAAUGCAUGAUAAAGGAAAGAUGGGACUUGCUGAGUCAUGAAACCACAGUAAGAUAAUAUCUGAUUGAUAUUUGCACAUCUCUUUACCCAUCAUGCUUUCAGCAGAGGGAAUACAGCAAGACAGAAAAUGAUUAAAUAAUUUACAUUUUGUGACAUUAAAGACACUGCUCACAAUAAAAUUGAAAUUCUCCUAUGAUUCAUCUGUCAGAUAUGCUGCUAUGUUUUCCCCAUCAAAUGCAAAAAGCACAUCUUAUCACGUUUAUUUCAGAAGGAGAGUUGAUUUUCAGUGAUCUUUCCAUCAAAGUUUUGAGAAAUGCAUUGCUGAAAAUAAUGAGGGACUUUUCAUUUGUUGGUGACUGUUUCUUUAAGAGCCACUUGUUUAGUGCCAUUAUAUUUGCAUACAUAUCAAAUUAUACAUCUUUUCCUUUUAGAUGGCAAAGGGUGGAGAAGUCUGGAGACCUGCAUGGCUGCACCUGCCCGAUGUCACCUGAGGAACUGGAAGGUGAUGCUGCUUGUGUUUGUAUGUCUUCUGGGUCUCGUUGAUGGACAUUUCCUCCAGGAGGAGAAAGAAGAACCCCGUCCUAGCAAGCUGAGAGCCUUUUCAACUUCUGCAGAACAUCCAGGACCACAGAAAGAUCUAGAUGAGUGGCAGAGCAGAGCACCAUGGGCACGACUGCAUGGUCAGUACAUCCCUGACACUGUGAGGGAAACCGGGGCUAGUUGUCACACUUUCUACUUCAGCAAAUGAGCAAUGAGUGUUGAAUUCUUAGAGGUUAAAAGAGGUUUUUUUUUAAAUUUUUUUAUUAAACUUAUGUUGUGUGUGUGUGUGUGUGUGUGUGUGUGUGUGUGUGUGUGUAUGAGUGAUUGUGUGUUAUAUGCAACUGCAUUAUUUGUGAUUAGAUUAUUUGUGAUUGGACUGGGCAAAUGUCCAGUGACCACUUAAUUGUUACUUUGUAAUGAGUAUUUGAGCCUGGGAAAGGUGCUUUAUAAAUUAAACAUAUUAUUAUUGUCAUCACAGCUCGUGUGUCACUGAUAAGGCAGCCUGACACACACCUAAAAUGUGGAUUUUUAUUUUAAAUUUGACGUCUUGACGUGUGUGUGUGUGUUUCAGGUGUCUCCGUACGCUGAUGACCCGUGUGUGGAGUGUCAGUGUGACUCGAGAGGUUCUGCGAGUCUCGUCUGCAUCAGAGACGAUAAUCACUCGGUCCCCGGCGCAGGUGGAGUGUGGCUUCAUCUGUUCGUCUGGAUGCAGUGUGUCUGAACGCAGCAGUGUUUGAGCUGAUGCUGUGUGUGUUUUGCAGGUCUGACCGCCGGUCAGUGUUUGUGUAAGGAGGGUUUUGCGGGGGAGAAGUGUGACCGCUGUGCGUUUGGAUUCAGAGAUUUCCCACAAUGCACUCGCUGCGAGUGUAACCUUGCUGGAAGCCACAACGUCGACCCCUGCAGCGAGUGUGUGUGCAAGGUACUGCAAAACACACACACACACAAUCUCUUCACGUCUUCUGUCUCUGGUUGAGAGUUCAGAGUGUUUUAUCCAGUCAGAGCUCUUUUAGUGUAAUCAGCUUCAGCUGCUGCUUCUGGUGUCAGAUCUUGAGUGAUUUUGAUCAAGUAAAGGUCAGAAUAACUGCAGUAAUAUCUCCAGAUGAACUCUUACUGAACUGAAGCAGCUCAGCUUUACUUGAUUCUCCAUCAAUCAUGUUUU
rnacentral:lncRNA from 1 species